CAGCCCUUGACAUGGCAGGACGGUUUCCGGAGACGGAUUCCUUCACUUCGGUGACCUGCACACAGGUGCUGCAUGGCUGUCGUCAGCUCGUGUCGUGAGAUGUUGGGUUAAGUCCCGCAACGAGCGCAACCCUCGCCUUUAGUUGCCAUCAUUUAAUUGGGCACUCUAGAGGGACUGCCGGUGAUAAGCCGGAGGAAGGUGGGGAUGACGUCAAGUCUUCAUGGCCCUUACGGGCUGGGCUACACACGUGCUACAAUGGCGGUGACAGAGGGCAGCUAGUCCUCGAGGACAUGCUAAUCCCUAAAAGCCGUCUCAAUUCGGAUUGCACUCUGCAACUCGAGUGCAUGAAGUUGGAAUCGCUAGUAAUCGCAGAUCAGCACGCUGCGGUGAAUACGUUCCC
rnacentral:rRNA from 1 species